GACGAACGCUGGCGGCGUGCUUAACACAUGCAAGUCGAACGAAGAACUAGAGAUGAAUUCUUCGGAAGGAAUUUUUAGUUACUUAGUGGCGGACGGGUGAGUAACGCGUGAGCAACCUGCCCAUAAGAGGGGGAUAACAGCUGGAAACGGCUGCUAAUACCGCAUAAGACCACAUUGCCACAUGGCAGAGGGGUCAAAGAUUUAUCGCUUAUGGAUGGGCUCGCGUCUGAUUAGCUAGUUGGUAGGGUAACGGCCUACCAAGGCGACGAUCAGUAGCCGACCUGAGAGGGUGAUCGGCCACACUGGAACUGAGACACGGUCCAG
rnacentral:rRNA from 1 species